UCCGUUCUAAACCAGUUUUCUUUAUUCAUGCUCAGGAGCAGGACUUAGUUCUUAAAACUACCUUGGUUACGGCUGUUGGCAAAUAAGUAGAUAGUUUGCAGGUGGCCCCGGGGAGAAAGAAGUUACAGAUGAGAAGCGGGCGUGAGACGCACCCUGUGAUGCCGGGACUGCCAUGUGCCUGGAGCCUCACAAGACGGACAGUCCUGGGAAUAAACAGUAGAUUCGCAAGAAGUUUUAUGCUUUUAGCUUCUACAAUUGGGCCCAUGAUCAAGUUAAGUUUUGGGGAUGGUGUGAGAUAAAAAUCAGAGUUCUCCCCUUCCACGGAUGGGCAGCUCUUUGAUGCAAAGACUAAGCCUCAGUUCCCUUGGCGCCUUUGCUGCAGGUGGCGCAGCUGCACGUGGUUAUGCUCCUGCUCCGUUCGGCUCAUCUGGGUCCGUCUCUGGCUUCAGAGCGAGUCUCUAAAUUAGGGACACUUAGCUCUCCAGUGGCUCUUUCACAAGUUGCUUUGACUCAACUUCCAUAUGCACUCUAAGACGAGCUCACCGCUGUGUGAAGGAGACCCUGCCGGAACUCGUGUGUGGGACUGAACGCACCCAUCAGGGGAAAAGAGACCCUGACCUGACGCAGCUCUUUGAUUCUUUGAAUUGUUUUCAGCGAUACUUCACGGUUUCCGGCGUCUGUGUUUUUGUGCAGUCUGUAACUCCGGCACUCCACACAUUCUGGAUACUGUUGUGAAUGGGGUUGCACCUUUGAAUUUCAUUCUCCAGUUGUUGCUUGAAUGUGCAAAUAGAGCGGACCUUGGUUUAGCCACCUCUGCUGACUUGGCUGGGUUGGCGUACCUGCUCUAGCGGUAGCUUUGUUCUACCCACACGCUCCUGUCCCGUGUGACCACUACUUCACAUCUCCUUCCCACCUGUAUGCGUUUCCUUUCUCCUUCCGGGCUCAGCACAGCGGCGACCGCCUGUCCUGGCUGCGGGGGGAGAGCUUUCAGUCUGUUACAUUCAGCAUGUCAGCUUCAGUCCGUAGAUUGCAAAUGUCCUUUCCCGGCUUAGGGAAGCUCCUUUCCAUUCCUAGUUUGCUGGGAGUUAAGUCAACAGUGUUUGAUGUCAUCGAUGCUGCUGUUUUUGAGAUGAUUAUGUUUUUAUUUCUUUUUUAGAUUUUUAAAUGUUAAGUUAACCUUGCACUUCUGCACCAAAUUGUACUUGGUUUUGGUGUAUUGCGGAUUUUGUAUAUUGCUGGAUUCAAAUGGCUAGUAUUUGGUGAAGAGCUACUGGUCAUUUUCUUUUCUUGUAAUAUUUCUGUCUGGGAAUAAUGCUGGACUCAUAAAAUUGUUGUGAGGUAUCCUGUCCUGUGUGUCUGAAAGACUCUAAGAUAGGUGUUGCUUCUUCCUUAAAAGUUUAGGAGAAUUCACCAGGUACACCCUCCAGUUCUGAUUUUUUUUUUUCCCUCUGAAAGAUUUAAAAUGUCAGAUUGAACUGCUUUGUUUCUUUCCGUGUCCAUCUGGACAGCUUGUGAAUCUCAGGGAAUGUGGCCAUACCACUUUUUACCAGUGUGAACGACUCACAGCCUUCUCCGUAGGUACAGCGACCAUGUCCUUUCAGUCCUGGUAUCCACAAUUUUCGUUCCCUCUCCUGCAGCUAGUCUGACUAGAGGCUCCUCAGUUUUGUGGGUCUUCUGUAUCUGCUCGUUUUCUAGUUCUUUAAUUUCUACUUUUAUUAUUUCCUUCCAUUUAUUUUGGUCUUAAGUUGUUCCUCUCUAGUUUUUAAAGGUGGAUGCUUACAUCAACAUUAAUUAAACCUUUCAUUUUUAAUGUAAACGUUUGAAGCUAUAAAUUUUCCUGUAAUUCUUUAGUUGUUUUUUAAAAUAAACCUUUACAUGGUGUGUUUUCCUAGUCACUCAAAA